rnacentral:rRNA from 1 species
UACGGAAGGGGCAAGCGUUGUUCGGAAUCAUUGGGCGUAAAGGGCGCGUAGGUGGGUCUGUAUGUCUACCGUGAAAGCGUACGGCUCAACCGUAUUUUGUCGGUGGAAACUGCAGGACUUGAGGCUGGGAGGGGCUGGUGGAAUUCCCUGUGUAGCGGUGAAAUGCGUAGAGAUGGGGGAGAACACUCGUGGCGAAGGCGGCCAGCUAGACCAGUUCUGACACUGAGGCGCGACAGCGUGGGGAGCAAACAGG